GGUUGGUCCGAGUGCAGUUGUGUUCACAACUAAUUGAUCAUGACCAGUUACAGACUCCUUUGUUCCUCUUCCACUCCCACUGCUCCACUUGACCAGCCUUAA
rnacentral:Y_RNA from 1 species